rnacentral:rRNA from 1 species
UACGUAGGGGGCAAGCGUUGUCCGGAUUUAUUGGGCGUAAAGAGCGUGUAGGCGGCCAUGUAGGUCCGGUGUGAAAACUCGAGGCUUAACCUCGAGAUGUCAUCGGAAACCAUUUGGCUAGAGUCCGGAAGAGGAGAGUGGAAUUCCUGGUGUAGCGGUGAAAUGCGCAGAUAUCAGGAAGAACACCAAUGGCGAAAGCAGCUCGCUGGGACGUUACUGACGCUGAGACGCGAAAGCGUGGGGAGCAAACAGG